GACAGAGGGUGCAAACGUUGUUCGGAAUUACUGGGCGUAAAGCGUGCGCAGGCGGUGAUGUAAGACAGGUGUGAAAUCCCCGGGCUUAACCUGGGAACUGCAUUUGUGACUGCAUCGCUGGAGUGCGGCAGAGGGGGAUGGAAUUCCGCGUGUAGCAGUGAAAUGCGUAGAUAUGCGGAGGAACACCGAUGGCGAAGGCAAUCCCCUGGGCCUGCACUGACGCUCAUGCACGAAAGCGUGGGGAGCAAACAGG
rnacentral:rRNA from 1 species